rnacentral:rRNA from 1 species
AACACGUGCUCAACCUGCCUAUAAGACUGGGAUAACUUCGGGAAACCGGAGCUAAUACCGGAUACGUUCUUUUCUCGCAUGAGAGAAGAUGGAAAGACGGUUUACGCUGUCACUUAUAGAUGGGCCCGCGGCGCAUUAGCUAGUUGGUGAGGUAAUGGCUCACCAAGGCGACGAUGCGUAGCCGACCUGAGAGGGUGAUCGGCCACACUGGGACUGAGACACGGCCCAGACUCCUACGGGAGGCAGCAGUAGGGAAUCUUCCGCAAUGGACGAAAGUCUGACGGAGCAACGCCGCGUGAACGAAGAAGGCCUUCGGGUCGUAAAGUUCUGUUGUUAGGGAAGAACAAGUACCAGAGUAACUGCUGGUACCUUGACGGUACCUAACCAGAAAGCCACGGCUAACUACGUGCCAGCAGCCGCGGUAAUACGUAGGUGGCAAGCGUUGUCCGGAAUUAUUGGGCGUAAAGCGCGCGCAGGUGGUUCCUUAAGUCUGAUGUGAAAGCCCACGGCUCAACCGUGGAGGGUCAUUGGAAACUGGGGGACUUGAGUGCAGAAGAGGAAAGUGGAAUUCCAAGUGUAGCGGUGAAAUGCGUAGAGAUUUGGAGGAACACCAGUGGCGAAGGCGACUUUCUGGUCUGUAACUGACACUG